rnacentral:rRNA from 1 species
GACGAACCGUGCGAACGUUAUUCGGAAUCACUGGGCUUAAAGCGCGUGUAGGCGGAUGAGCACGUCUGUCGCUGAAAUCCCCCGGCUCAACCGGGGAACGGGCGCGGAUACGGCUCGUCUCGAGGGGCGUAGGGGGACCUGGAACUUCCGGUGGAGCGGUGAAAUGCGUAGAUAUCUGGAGGAAUACCGGUGGCGAAGGCGGCAUCCUGGACCGACAUUGACGCUGAGGAGCGAAAGCUAGGGGAGCAAACGGG